UGGGGAAUAUUGGACAAUGGGCGCAAGCCUGAUCCAGCCAUGCCGCGUGAGUGAUGAAGGCCUUAGGGUUGUAAAGCUCUUUCGCCGACGAAGAUAAUGACGGUAGUCGGAGAAGAAGCCCCGGCUAACUUCGUGCCAGCAGCCGCGGUAAUACGAAGGGGGCUAGCGUUGUUCGGAACCACUGGGCGUAAAGCGCACGUAGGCGGAUUGUUAAGUCAGGGGUGAAAGCCUGGAGCUCAACUCCAGAACUGCCCUUGAUACUGGCAAUCUCGAGUCCGGAAGAGGUAAGUGGAACUGCGAGUGUAGAGGUGAAAAUUCGUAGAUAUUCGCAAGAACACCAGUGGCGAAGGCGGCUUACUGGUCCGGUACUGACGCUGAGGUGCGAAAAGCGUGGGGAGCAAAACAGGAUUAGAUACCCUGGUAGUCCACGCCGUAAAACGAUGGAGGCUAGCCGUUGGCGAGCAUGCUCGUCAGUGGCGCAGCUAAACGCAUUAAAGCCUCCCGCCUGGGGAGUAACGGUCGCAAAGAUUAAAAACUCAAAAAUGAAUUGACGGGG
rnacentral:rRNA from 1 species